UACGUAGGGUGCAAGCGUUGUCCGGAAUUAUUGGGCGUAAAGCGCGCGUAGGCGGCCCGGUAAGUCCGCUGUAAAGUCAAAGGCUCAACCUUUGAAUGUCAGUGGAUACUGCCGGGCUAGAGUCCGGAAGAGGCGAGUGGAAUUCCUGGUGUAGCGGUGAAAUGCGCAGAUAUCAGGAGGAACACCGGUGGCGAAGGCGGGUCUCUGGGCCGAUACUGACGCUGAGGAGCGAAAGCUAGGGUAGCAAACGGG
rnacentral:rRNA from 1 species